CGUAGUCCCCUGCUGGCCUCUAUUGUUGCAGCUCCCUCAAUCAUAUCUCAACAUGUGACUGAUCACAAGUUAACAUUCCACAUCAUGGGCAGAAGCCAGUGAACAGGGGGAAGUUUCACAAUGACUGUGCCAGGGGACUGUAGGUACACCUCUGGAUAAUAAAGACUUGGAUAGUCAUUCCUGGCACGAUCUUCUUCUCUCAAGAAGCGACACCUUUCACAUAAAAUAAUUUAUACAAGAUGAGAACUCGCAGUGAAACACCAGGAUAAUGCGCUUUUCUGCCAAUGAAGGUACCAAAGGACACUUGAGAAAAUAAUCCAACACAUCUUCUGGUCGAUGAAGAUUUAAAGCUCC